CUGUAGUGAGAGAUUUGGAGGUUCUCAACAUCAAGCUUUUGGAAAUUACUACGCUUUCUGUUGGCCAUAAAAUCCGCCCAAUUGUAAGGCCUAAAUUUGGCAGGGUUUUGCUCAUUUACUAUCUCCUCUAAGGGCUUCACGAUGGUAUAGUGUGCUGGAUUGAAGAAGUAUGGAAUGGAAAAUCUUUCCUUCUCAGGGUUCACCUUCACUCUAUGUUCCACACUUUCAUAAGCAUCGUUGCUCCAUACCUGACUAAUGUCGCCAACAUUGAUUGUGUAAGAAUUUGGGGUUGGCUUGACCCAAGUCCA
rnacentral:misc_RNA from 1 species